GACGAACCGAGCGAACGUUAUUCGGAAUCACUGGGCUUAAAGGGCGCGUAGGCGGGCGGCCAAGUCAGGGGUGAAAGCCCCCAGCUCAACUGGGGAAGUGCCUCUGAUACUGGUCAUCUCGAGGGAGAUAGGGGCGUGCGGAACUUCCGGUGGAGCGGUGAAAUGCGUAGAUAUCGGAAGGAACACCGGUGGCGAAGGCGGUUGCCUGGAGCUUUGCUGACGCUGAGGCGCGAAAGCGUGGGGAGCGAUCCGG
rnacentral:rRNA from 1 species